CUUGGCUCUGUGAGUCAUGGCUUGAAAGGGUUUAUCUCUCUCCUUGCCCCUUCCUUUCUUCCUCUAAUUCCUGGCUACCAUGAGAAGUAAGGUCAUUUCUUGUGACACCACCUGACCGUGUGGCUCAGAAAUCUUUGGAGCUGGAUGGCUGGAGGAGUUUGGAAAGGUUUGGAGAUGCUGGUUGGAGAAGCAGCCCUAGAAUUCUCUCCAGCGUACUUAGCAAGGGGCACGUGGGAGCAGGCCUCCUUAAGAUGCUCGCUGACAGAGAACGGAAGGACAGGGACUCAUUUCCUCUAGGAACUGAACUUUGCAGUGAAAGAAAAGGAGGAAAUUAAUGAAAGAUUCUGGUGAGAAUCCAAAGGCUGCCUUCAAAUCUCAGCUUAAUUUCCCUUCUCAAAUGAUCGCGAGGUGAUUUUUGUUUCACUCGUUUGCUUGGUUUACUUUGUUUAACUUUUCAUCCCUCUACAGAGCAAGGAGGACAGGGUGGUGGGUCAAAGGGGCGGAGGCUCUGUCUUCCUAGGGGUCCUCCAGGCGUCUACCUGGGAGCACUGCGCUCUGGUGCCCUGGGCUGAACAGGGUCACGAGGCGACUCUAACAGCACCGAGAGGAUCUGCUGCCAAAAGCAGCCCCACCUGCCCGUGGAUGCCUGGCAUUCCUCUCCCCGACAAGGCCGGAGAGGCCAGCUGUUCCCGAAGAUCCUCUCCCCACAGGCUGGCACAGGCUGGAAAUUCCAGCCUUGAACUUCAGGCUAAAUUUUCCUUCACAAUCUCCCCCAAGGCACGUGCUGCCUGCAUCCACCCCAUCUGAAGUAAAGGUGUUGUUAGACACUUGCGUGGCAGGGUUACACAGGCUUGCUCCAAGGACAGAAUUCAUGGGAGCGGGAAGAGCCUUGUGUCUCUCCUUCGCCCAUGACUGUGGCCAAGUCCUUAAGCCAAGUUGGCAGGACUCUAGGGAAGAUUAGGCCAGGCAAAUGUAGAGCAUCGAUUAACAAAAGGGCGGAACCAGCCUGAAUGUCUAUCCAGGAGAGACGAGUUAAGGAAACUGGGGACCCACACAACUCCACACUUCUGUCGUACAGAAGAAGAUCUGGGUGGCAAUGUUGAGAUGCAAUAAAAAUGCUUCCAAGUGUUCCUAGUGCACUUGUUUGCUCACUGCAUGUCACGCGACCCAUCUCUUCUGAGCACAUGUGCAUGGAAGUAGAAGAAGAAACCGUCAGGAAUCCGAAAUGACACAGAAGACCACCGACCAAUGUAAUGGUGGAAGUUCCCGGUUCUCACUUCACGAAACCAAUCAUGAAAAUGCAUCUAGAGACAGUUAGGUGGACUUGAAUGUGUUAUUAGGUGACUUUAUAGAGUAAUUAUUAACUUUAUAAUGUGCAAUAAUGACAUUCUAUUUCUGUAAUGAACACCUACCGAAGACCCCUGAUAGAGAAAUUACGGUGUCGGGGUGUGUUUUAAACAACUCUGAAGGAUAAAUGAGACAAAAGCAGUGUGCUCCUGAAAAUUAAUGAAGUUGGAAACGAGACUGGGGACUUUCUGGUAUUCUUUUGUGUACAAAACAAAAAACAAAAAGAGAGAAAAAAAGAAAGAAAAGAGCAAAGAAACUAUCUGUUCCUAACAAUAAUGAACUCAAGAAACGCUAGCCCCCUUCUUUUUAUUUUUACCCCAAAUUCUGUUUGACAGCAGCACUUGUUGCUGGAGAAUGUCUACGAGCACAGGGAGCCAAGUUUGGGCCCAGCUGGGGGGUGGGGGGGCGGUGUUUGAGAGAGCAGAGCAGACAAACCCGGCAGGAUCGCUGGGCCGGCGGAGGUGGCCGACCGCUGCCGCUUUCUGAGUCGCCCCGCAGCUGGCGGCGGCUGCCCCUGCUGGGGUGGAACCAGGCUGGCUGGGUGUACUGAGGGGCAGCCUUACGGCCUUUGGGAGUUUGGCCCUCAGCCCCGACCCAGAAGCCCGGCAAAGGGCACAGCCACUCAGACGUGGCCGGACAGGCAGAGAGGGCAGGGAGAUCGCUUCUGCCACUGCGGGCGCCAGUGAGGCUCGGCAGAGCGGGCCGGAGUUGGCGCCCUGGGCGGAGGCCGCUUCUGGGUGACUGAGGCUGGGAGCAGCUGCGCCCAGCGUGGCAGGCGGCGUGGGGGUCUCCACGCUGCCCACCUCCUGGGCAGGGAGAGCAGGGGCUGAGCCCCACCUGGCCGAGGUCAGCCCUGCCGGGCCAGGCCCGGGAGCCCAGUGUCCCCCACUGCUAGGCAGCUGGAACUUGGGCGGCACUGAGUCCCUCUGAGGGACCCGUGACAGCUCCGGGCUGUGGUGGGGCCUCGCGUGGAAAAUCCGACCCGAGUGGGCUCCGACCCUAAGGGCUUCUGCCCUCCAGAGACAGCUUCAGCUUUCUGCGCUCGGUGGCCUCUGGGGCCCUCUGCUGAGUCCUC